AUGGCGGAAAGAAGGAAUAGGACUUUAAUGGAUAUGGUUAGGUCUAUGAUGGCUUAUUCUGACUUGCCAUUGUCUUUUUGGGGAGAGGCACUUCACACUGCUGUAUAUUUAUUGAAUCACUCACCUUCUAAAGCUGUAACGGUAACACCCUAUGAGCUUUGGAAGGGAAGGAAGCCCUCACUUCGCCUUUUGGCGGUUUGGGGGUGUAAUGCUCAAAUAAGGAUACCUAGCCAGUUGCUCACCAAACUACAAUCUAAAAGUACCCCAGGAAUUUUUAUUGGUUAUGCAUCAGGUUCUAAUGGCUACCGUUUUUGGGAUCCUCAAAGAAAGAAAUUGAUUGAAAGUGGAGAUGCAGUUUUUCUUGAUCAGGAUACACCUCGCCGUGCUAAACGAGCUAGGGUGGAAUUAUUAGUAGAACCUGAAGAUAUCUCUUUACCUGAAACCGAACCUCUAGUUCAGGAAAAUAAUGAUGCUAGUCAGUCUACUAACUCUAUUUCGAAUAGCAUGCCUAGGAGAAGUGGGAGGAUUACACAACCACCUGCAUAUUUAGAUGAGUAUUUUGUUUUUCUGGGGGAAGUGCACUCUAAAAUUCAGAACUUAGAGGAAGAACCAAAAUCAUUCAAAGCUGCAUUGGCAAGUCCUGAAUCAAAUCUUUGGAUGGAAGCCAUGCAGGAAGAAUUAAACUCUAUGAGGAAAAAUAAUGUUUGGGAAUUAGUUGAAUUACCAAACAAUCGAAAGUCUAUUGGUUCUAAAUGGAUUUUUAAAAGGAAACUGAAUGCGACUGGUCAAGUGGAUAAAUAUAAAGCAAGGCUCGUUGCUAAAGGAUUUACACAAAUGGAAGGAGUUGAUUUUGUAGAAACCUUUUCUCCCGUUGCUAAAUUUACCUCUAUACGGAUAUUAGUGCAUUAA
rnacentral:rRNA from 1 species